rnacentral:rRNA from 1 species
GACGAACGCUGGCGGCGUGCUUAACACAUGCAAGUCGAACGGAAAGGCCCUGCUUUUGUGGGGUGCUCGAGUGGCGAACGGGUGAGUAACACGUGAGUAACCUGCCCUUGACUUUGGGAUAACCUCAGGAAACUGGGGCUAAUACCGGAUAGGAGCUCCUGCUGCAUGGUGGGGGUUGGAAAGUUUCGGCGGUUGGGGAUGGACUCGCGGCUUAUCAGCUUGUUUGUGAGGUAGGGGCUUACCAAGGCUUUGACGGGUAGCCGGCCUGAGAGGGUGACCGGCCACAUUGGGACUGAGAUACGGCCCAGACUCCUACGGGAGGCAGCAGUGGGGAAUAUUGCACAAUGGGGGGAAGCCUGAUGCAGCAACGCCGCGUGCGGGAUGACGGCCUUCGGGUUGUAAACCGCUUUCGCCUGUGACGAAGCGUGAGUGACGGUAAUGGGUAAAGAAGCACCGGCUAACUACGUG